CGGCCGCGUCGACAUCGGUCUGGAGUUCGAGAGAGGUGAGUGGAAUUCCGAGUGUAGAGGUGAAAUUCGUAGAUAUUCGGAGGAACACCAGUGGCGAAGGCGGCUCACUGGCUCGAUACUGACGCUGAGGUGCGAAAGCGUGGGAGCAAACAGGAUUAGAUACCUCGGUAGUCCACGCCGUAACGAUGAAUGCCAGUCGUCGGGCGAGCAUGCUGUUCGGUGACACACCUAACGGAUUAAGCAUUCCGCCUGGGAGUACGGUCGCAAGAAUGAAACUCAAAGGAAUUGACGGGGACCGCACAAGCGGUGGAGCAUGUGGUUUAAUUCGAAGCAACGCGAAGAACCUUAC
rnacentral:rRNA from 1 species